rnacentral:snoRNA from 1 species
AGAACAUUUCAAAGAAUGCUUGUGGGGCCGUGAAACCAAGAGCUGUUAAUUCUAUAGCCAAGGACUGAAGUACUUACUCUAUAUGA